rnacentral:piRNA from 1 species
UCACAGUAUGCUGUUCAUACUUAGAGUUC